rnacentral:misc_RNA from 1 species
AGCAGCCGCGGUAAUUCCAGCUCCAAUAGCGUAUAUUAAAGUUGUUGCAGUUAAAAAGCUCGUAGUUGAAUUUCGGGAUUAAUAUGUUGGUCGUGCCUUGGUACGUACUGGCAUUAUUGAUUCCUACCUUCUGAAGAACCUCGAUGUCAUUAAUUUGGUGUCUUGGGAAAUCAGGACCGUUACUUUGAAAAAAUUAGAGUGUUUAAAGCAGGCUCGCGCUUGAAUACAUUAGCAUGGAAUAAUGAAAUAGGACGUUUGAUUCUAUUUUGUUGGUUUCUAGGAUCGACGUAAUGAUUAAUAGGGAUAGUUGGGGGCAUUAGUAUUCAAUUGUCAGAGGUGAAAUUCUUGGAUUUAUUGAAGACUGACUACUGCGAAAGCAUUUGCCAAGGAUGUUUUCAUUAAUCAAGAACGAAAGUUAGGGGAUCGAAGACGAUCAGAUACCGUCGUAGUCUUAACCAUAAACUAUGCCGACUAGGGAUCGGAUGAUGUUAAUUUUUAAUGUACUCAUUCGGCGCCUUAA